rnacentral:rRNA from 1 species
AGUGAACGCUGGCGGUAGGCCUAACACAUGCAAGUCGAACGGCAGCACAGUAAGAGCUUGCUCUUACGGGUGGCGAGUGGCGGACGGGUGAGGAAUACAUCGGAAUCUACUUUUUCGUGGGGGAUAACGUAGGGAAACUUACGCUAAUACCGCAUACGACCUACGGGUGAAAGCAGGGGAUCUUCGGACCUUGCGCGAUUGAAUGAGCCGAUGUCGGAUUAGCUAGUUGGCGGGGUAAAGGCCCACCAAGGCGACGAUCCGUAGCUGGUCUGAGAGGAUGAUCAGCCACACUGGAACUGAGACACGGCCCAGACUCCUACGGGAGGCAGCAGUGGGGAAUAUUAGACAAUGGGCGCAAGCCUGAUCCAGCAAUACCGCGUGGGUGAAGAAGGCCUUCGGGUUGUAAAGCCCUUUUGUUGGGAAAGAAAAGCAGCAGGUUAAUACCCCGCUGUUCUGACGGUACCCAAAGAAUAAGCACCGGCUAACUUCGUG